rnacentral:rRNA from 1 species
CUUAGUGGCGGACGGGUGAGUAACGCGUGGGGAACCUGCCCUGUACCGGGGGAUAGCAGCCGGAAACGGCUGAUAAUACCGCAUAAGCGCACGAAUGUCGCAUGACAUGGUGUGAAAAACUCCGGUGGUAUAGGAUGGACCCGCGUCUGAUUAGCCGGUUGGUGGGGUAAAAGCCUACCAAAGCGAAGAUCAGUAGCCGAGUUGAGAGACUGACCGGCCACAUUGGGACUGAGACACGGCCCAGACUCCUACGGGAGGCAGCAGGG